UUUUUUCCUUUCCCGGAGAAACCUGAAACGGUUUUUAAGAUUUAUAGGGGGGUUUUUUUCUAAACCGGGAAUUUGGAGGUUCAUUUGCUUGGAAACAAUUUAAGUUGGGGAAGGUUCCCCGGCCGCCCAACCAAAGGUUUUUUGGUUAAAACCUUUUAGCCCAAUAGUAAAAAAGCUAUCCCCGCCUUUAACUCAACACCUGUCCUUUCCAAGCAAAACCCCCUGUUGUUAUUGCUCAAACACCCAAACCCCAAGGGGUUGAGGGAGAAACGACGCUUCAAAACAGGCUUGCCCUUCCGGAAUACCAAGAGGCCGCCUUUGCGUUCAAAGUUUCGUUGAUUCACGAACAUUUGCAAUUUCUUAUUACGUAUCGCAUUCCGCUGCUUUUUUUAUCGAUGCAGAACCCAAAGUUCCGUUGUGAAAGUUUUGACUGUUAGUAAUUAUCUGGUUGACAAGUUGAUAAAAAAUUGGUGGUAAGUUUAGACCUCCGGCGGCCGGCUGGGCCCACCGCCAGAGCCAGUUUGUUUCAAAGAAAAACACCUGGGGUGCACUUAAGCAAAUCGGUAUUGUUCCUCUUUCCGGAAAGGGGUACUGCGGAAGGAUCAUUACUGAUUUGCUUAAUUGCACCACAUGUGUUUUUCUUUGAAACAAACUUGCUUUGGCGGUGGGCCCAGCCUGCCGCCAGAGGUCUAAACUUACAACCAAUUUUUUAUCAACUUGUCACACCAGAUUAUUACUAAUAGUCAAAACUUUCAACAACGGAUCUCUUGGUUCUCGCAUCGAUGAAGAACGCAGCGAAAUGCGAUACGUAAUAUGAAUUGCAGAUAUUCGUGAAUCAUCGAAUCUUUGAACGCACAUUGCGCCCUCUGGUAUUCCGGAGGGCAUGCCUGUUUGAGCGUCGUUUCUCCCUCAAACCGCUGGGUUUGGUGUUGAGCAAUACGACUUGGGUUUGCUUGAAAGACGGUAGUGGUAAGGCGGGAUCGCUUUGACAAUGGCUUAGGUCUAACCAAAAACAUUGCUUGCGGCGGUAACGUCCACCACGUAUAUCUUCAAACUUUGACCUCAAAUCAGGUAGGACUACCCGCUGAACUUAAGCAUAUCAAAAGCCGGGAGGAAAAAGAUCAUUACUGAUUUGCUUAAUUGCACCACACGUGGUUUUUCUUUGAAACAAACUUGCUUUGGCGGUGGGCCCAGCCUGCCGCCCGAGGUCUAAACUUACAACCAAUUUUUUAUCAACUUGUCACACCAGAAUUAUUACUAAAAAGUCAAAACUUUCAACAACGGAACUCUGGGGUUCUGCAUCGAUAAAGAACGCAGCGAAAUGCGAUACGUAAUAUGAAAUUGCAGAUAUUCGUGGAAUCAUCCAAUCUUUGAACGCACAUUGCGCCCUCUGGGUAAUUCCGGAAGGGCAUGCCUGUUUUGAAGCGUCGUUUCUCCCUCAACCCCUUGGGGUUUGGGUGGUUGGAGCAAUAACCAACCUGGUGGUUUUGCUUUGUAAAAGACGGGUUGGUGGGUUAAAGGCGGGGAAUCCCUUUUGUAAUAAUGGGGCCUUACGGUUCUUAACCAAAAAAACAUUUGGUUUGGCGGGCGGGUGAACCUUCCCCCACUUAAAAAGUUUUCCAAACCUUUUGACCCCCAAAAUCCGGGGUGAGGGAAAUAACCCCCCUUAAAACUUUAAAAACCGCUUCAUUACUUGCCGGGGAAAGAAAAAA
rnacentral:rRNA from 1 species